rnacentral:rRNA from 1 species
GUUCCAGCCGCCGCGGUAAUACGAAGGGUGCAAGCGUUAAUCGGAAUUACUGGGCGUAAAGCGUGCGUAGGUGGUUUCUUAAGUCUGCUGUGAAAGCCCUGGGCUCAACCUGGGAAUGGCGGUGGAUACUGAGGAGCUAGAGUGCGGUAGAGGAGGGUGGAAUUCCCGGUGUAGCGGUGAAAUGCGUAGAGAUCGGGAGGAACAUCAGUGGCGAAGGCGGCCCUCUGGACCAGCACUGACGCUGAGGCACGAAAGCGUGGGGAGCAAACAGGAUUAGAAACCCUAGUAGUCC